AUCGGGAACACUGUUGUAGCAGUAGAUGUUAUUCGACAUCUCCCAGCUCCAGUCGUCCUUCCUAGAGAUGGCCAUCGACGGCCACCGGUUGAUUCUCACAUAGUGGCUCCUGAUCUUUCCCUCGCCCACAAAGCUUGUCAUGAUCGAGAAUGUGCAUUCGUGUCCACCCCAUACUUCGUCGCCAGGGUCGGCCGUGUGGGACCCGUCAGGGUGG
rnacentral:misc_RNA from 1 species